rnacentral:misc_RNA from 1 species
ACUUGAGAGUUUUCCCAAUUGAUGGAUGGAUCGAGCGAAUGCAGGAAUGAAAGGCCGGAAGGAUUCGUCGCGCCAACUUCCGUGGCGAGCUUGACCACGCUUUCGGCGUCGAGCUGACCGCUAUUCUUAAGCAGCCCUACGCCUUCCAUGAAUCCCUUCAACUGUCCCUGAAAUUUUUGCCAGGCGCCUUCUAUUUUUGAAUCCCGGAAUCGGCCCAGCUCCUCUUCGAUUGCGGUCAAAAUUUCUUCACGCGAUUUUUCGAUUUUGACCUGGUCGCCAAAUUUCUCCUUAUAAACAUUGAAGA